rnacentral:rRNA from 1 species
CCUACGGGAGGCAGCAGUGGGGAAUAUUGCGCAAUGGGCGAAAGCCUGACGCAGCGACGCCGCGUGAGGGAUGAAGGUCUUCGGAUCGUAAACCUCUGUCAGCAGGGAAGAACGGUCACUGUGCUAAUUAGCAGUGAAUUGACGGUACCUGCAAGGGAAGCAUCGGCUAACUCCGUGCCAGCAGCCGCGGUAAUACGGAGGGUGCGAGCGUUAAUCGGAAUGACUGGGCGGAAAGCGCGAGUAGGCGGUAUGUCAAGGCAAGGGUGAAAUCCCCGCGCUCAACGUGGGAACUGCCUUUGAUACGGGCAACCUGGAGUGUGUGUGCGGAUAGUGGAAUUCCAGUUGU